GGAGGUGAAGGCGAUCUGGCUUUGACAUCUGCCACCUUACUGAUCACCAAGGCUGAUUCAGCUGAUCUAGCUGGUUAGGCAUCUUUUACUCCCUCACUGUUCCAUGUGUGUCAACUUGGUCAAAGACCUUUUCUGUUGGAGAAGGGCCAUUCUUCAGUCAAAAGGACAUGAGUAGCUAUGCCCCCCUGCUAGAACCUCCGCACAAGUUCACAUUCUGAUUUUUGGAUAGUUUUCCCUAAUUACAUACUUUCAGAUAUUGAUUCAGAGGAUAAGAACCAAUAAAAAUGCAUCU
ensembl:misc_RNA 7SK 7SK RNA